AGGAUCAUUAUUGAAUUUUGAAAGAGGUUGUAGCUGAUUGUAAUAGAUAUGUGCACACCUCGUUUCCAAAUUUUUACACCAUGUGCACUUUUUGUAGGCCGACUUCGUAAGAAAUUGGUCUAUGUCUUUUUUNAAAAAUAUACUCAAAAAGUCAAGAAUGUUAUUAUCAUAAGCUUGCUUGCAAGCUGAAAAAUUAAUACAACUUUCAACAACGGAUCUCUUGGCUCUCGCAUCGAUGAAGAACGCAGCGAAAUGCGAUAAGUAAUGUGAAUUGCAGAAUUCAGUGAAUCAUUGAAUCUUUGAACGCACCUUGCGCUCCUUGGUAUUCCGAGGAGCAUGCCUGUUUGAGUGUCAUUAAAUUCUCAAUCCUCUCAAGCUUUUGUUUUUGUGGAGGCUUUGGAUUUUGGAGUGUUGCUGGCUUGUCAAAGUUGGCUUCUCUUAAAUAUAUUAGCUUGUAUUCUUUUGCAGAUAAGCUUUAGUUUGAUAAAUAUCUAUGCUAUUGCUGUGAAGCAAAUGUCAGCUUCUAAUUGUUGUUUUCCAGGACAACUCUUUUUGAACACUUUGACCUCAAAUCAGGUAGGACUACCCGCUGAACUUAAGCAUAUCAAUAAGCGGAGGA
rnacentral:rRNA from 1 species